CCUACGGGAGGCAGCAGUGGGGAAUAUUGCACAAUGGGGGAAACCCUGAUGCAGCGACGCCGCGUGAGUGAAGAAGUAUCUCGGUACGUAAAGCUCUAUCAGCAGGGAAGAAAAUGACGGUACCUGACUAAGAAGCCCCGGCUAACUACGUGCCAGCAGCCGCGGUAAUACGUCGGGGGCAAGCGUUAUCCGGAUUUACUGGGUGUAAAGGGAGCGUAGACGGCAGCACAAGUCUGGAGUGAAAUCCCGUGGCUUAACCCCGGAACUGCUUUGGAAACUGGGCGGCUGGAGGGCAGAAGGGGUAAGCGGAAUUCCUAGGGUAGCGGUGAAAUGCGUAGAUAUUAGGAGGAACACCGGUGGCGAAGGCGGCUUACUGGACUGUAACUGACGUUGAGGCUCGAAAGCGUGGGGAGCAAACAGGAUUAGAUACCCUUGUAGUC
rnacentral:rRNA from 1 species